CUCAGCGCCAUUUUGUGGCAGCGAGACCCACAAAUAAAGGGGAGCGCAGGGGUUGCGGCGGGUCAGGCGGCAGAGCUGUCCGGCUGCGCGGGGGCCCGGGCGGAAGGGCAAGCAGCGUGGCCUCGGCCUAUGCGACUGGCGGCGCCGGCUUGGCUUCUGCCUGAAGAGGAUUCAAGAUGACCAACGAAGAACCUCUUCCCAAGAAGGUUCGACUGAGUGAAACAGACUUCAAAGUUAUGGCAAGAGAUGAGUUAAUUCUAAGAUGGAAACAUUAUGAAGCGUAUGUACAAGCUUUGGAGUGCAAGUACACAGAUCUUAAUUCUAAUGAUGUAACUGGCCUAAGAGAGUCUGAAGAAAAACUAAAAGCAACAACAGCAGGAGUCAGCACGCAGGGAAAACAUCCUUGUAAUGCGACUAGCAACCAAGGAACAAGAGAUGCAAGAGUGUACUACUCAAAUCCAGUACCUCAAGCAAGUCCAGCAGCCGAGCGUUGCCCAACUGAGAUCAACAAUGGUAGACCCAGCGAUCAACUUGUUUUUCCUAAAAAUGAAAGGUGAACUGGAACAGACUAAAGACAAACUGGAACAAGCCCAGAAUGAACUGAGUGCCUGGAAGUUUACGCCUGAUAGCCAAACAGGGGAAAAGUUAAUGGCGAAGUGUCGAAUGCUUAUCCAGGAGAAUCAAGAGCUUGGAAGGCAGCUGUCCCAGGGACGUAGUGCACAACUUGAAGCAGAGUUGGCUUUACAGAAGAAAUAUAGUGAGGAGCUUAAAAGCAAUCAGGAUGAACUGAAUGGCUUCAUCAUCCAGCUUGAUGAAGAAGUAGAGGGUAUGCAGAGUACCAUUCCCGUUCUGCAGCAGCAGCUGAAGGAGACACGCCAGCAGUUGGCUCAGUACCAGCAGCAGCAGUCUCAGGCCUCUGCCCCAAGUACCAGCAAGACUACAGCUUCUGAACCUGUAGAACAGUUGGAGGCCACAAGUAAAGACUGCAGUCGUCUGACAAACGGGCCAAGUAAUGGUAGCUCCUCCCGCCAGAGGACGUCUGGGUCUGGAUUUCACAGGGAGGGCAACACAACCGAAGAUGAUUUUCCUUCUUCUCCAGGGAAUGGUAGUAAGUCCUCCAACAGCUCAGAGGAGAGAACUGGCAGAGGAGGUAGUGGUUACGUAAAUCAACUCAGGGCGGGGUAUGAAAGUGUAGACUCUCCCACGGGCAGUGAAAACUCUCUCACACACCAAUCAAAUGACACAGACUCCAAUCAUGACCCUCAAGAGGAGAAAGCAGUGAGUGGGAAAGGUAACCGAACUGUGGGUUCCCGCCACGUUCAGAAUGGCUUGGACUCAAGUGUAAAUGUACAGGGUUCAGUUUUGUAAUAUUUUUUCAGCAAAUUUUUAUACAGUGUCAUUUAAUUUGGGAGAGGAUACUGUCCAGAAAAUUAAUGCAAACUUUUGUCACAAUUUGCCUUUUUGUGGGUGUACGUUUUGG